UUGUUUUCAACAACCUGUUUGACACGGACGUUUUUGACGGCGGGCGUGUUCGUGUCACCAAAACCUAGCACCCUUGAUGGUUGUCAUAAUAUGCCGAUUCUUGUCUCUGUCAGAGAUGCUCUCUGUUUGGUUUAGAAAAAGCACCCUCACUGCCCAGAAGCUGUCGCACGUGGCUGGCCGCCCACCACAAUGUUGGCCAUCGUCACUUCUCAAGUUACCGAUGCUGGAUCAGG